rnacentral:rRNA from 1 species
AACGAACGCUGGCGGCAUGCCUAACACAUGCAAGUCGAACGAGACCUUCGGGCCUAGUGGCGCACGUGUGCGUAACGCGUGGGAACCUGCCCUUAGGUUCGGAAUAACUCCCCGAAAGGGGUGCUAAUACCGGAUAAUGUCUUCGGACCAAAGAUUUAUCGCCUUUGGAUGGGCCCGCGUUGGAUUAGCUAGUUGGUAGGGUAAAAGCCUACCAAGGCGACGAUCCAUAGCUGGUCUGAGAGGAUGAUCAGCCACACUGGGACUGAGACACGGCCCAGACUCCUACGGGAGGGAGCAGUGGGGAAUAUUGGACAAUGGGCGAAAGCCUGAUCCAGCAAUGCCGCGUGAGUGAUGAAGGCCUUAGGGUUGUAAAGCUCUUUUACCCGGGAUGAUAAUGACAGUACCGGGAGAAUAAGCUCCGGCUAACUCCGUG